rnacentral:rRNA from 1 species
AUACGGAGGGUGCAAGCGUUACUCGGAAUCACUGGGCGUAAAGCGCGCGCAGGCGGCUAUUUAAGUUGGAUGUGAAAGCCUACGGCUCAACCGUAGAACUGCAUCCAAAACUAUUUAGCUAGAGUGUGGGAGAGGAAGAUGGAAUUAGUUGUGUAGGGGUAAAAUCCGUAGAGAUAACUAGGAAUACCAAAAGCGAAGGCAAUCUUCUGGAACACUACUGACGCUGAGGUGCGAAAGCGUGGGGAGCAAACAGGAUUAGAUACCCUAGUAGUCC